CCUACGGGAGGCAGCAGUGGGGGAUAUUGCACAAUGGGGGAAACCCUGAUGCAGCGAUGCCGCGUGAAUGAAGACGGCCUUCGGGUUGUAAAGUUCUGUCGCAGGGGACGAAAAUGACGGUACCCUGCAAGAAAGCUCCGGCUAACUACGUGCCAGCAGCCGCGGUAAUACGUAGGGAGCAAGCGUUGUCCGGAAUUACUGGGUGUAAAGGGAGCGUAGGCGGGAAGACAAGUCAGAUGUGAAAUCCCGCGGCUCAACCGCGGAACUGCAUUUGAAACUGUUUUUCUUGAGUAUCGGAGAGGUAAUCGGAAUUCCUAGUGUAGCGGUGAAAUGCGUAGAUAUUAGGAAGAACACCAGUGGCGAAGGCGGAUUACUGGACGACAACUGACGGUGAGGCGCGAAAGCGUGGGGAGCAAACAGGAUUAGAUACCCUAGUAGUC
rnacentral:rRNA from 1 species